UACGUAGGUGGCAAGCGUUGUCCGGAAUUAUUGGGCGUAAAGCGCGCGCAGGCGGUCCUUUAAGUCUGAUGUGAAAGCCCACGGCUCAACCGUGGAGGGUCAUUGGAAACUGGGGGACUUGAGUGCAGAAGAGGAGAGUGGAAUUCCUGGUGUAGCGGUGAAAUGCGCAGAUAUCAGGAAGAACACCCGUGGCGAAGGCGGCUCUCUGGGACGUAACUGACGCUGAGACGCGAAAGCGUGGGGAGCAAACAGG
rnacentral:rRNA from 1 species